rnacentral:rRNA from 1 species
GCUACACAUGCAAGUCGACGGUAACAGGAAGCAGCUUGCUGCUUCGCUGACGAGUGGCGGACGGGUGAGUAAUGUCUGGGAAACUGCCUGAUGGAGGGGGAUAACUACUGGAAACGGUAGCUAAUACCGCAUAAUGUCGCAAGACCAAAGAGGGGGACCUUCGGGCCUCUUGCCAUCGGAUGUGCCCAGAUGGGAUUAGCUAGUAGGUGGGGUAACGGCUCACCUAGGCGACGAUCCCUAGCUGGUCUGAGAGGAUGACCAGCCACACUGGAACUGAGACACGGUCCAGACUCCUACGGGAGGCAGCAGUGGGGAAUAUUGCACAAUGGGCGCAAGCCUGAUGCAGCCAUGCCGCGUGUAUGAAGAAGGCCUUCGGGUUGUAAAGUACUUUCAGCGGGGAGGAAGGUGCUGAGGUUAAUAACCUCNNCAAUUGACGUUACCCGCAGAAGAAGCACCGGCUAACUCCGUGCCAGCAGCGGCGGUAAUAAA